AGCUCCAAUAGCGUAUAUUUAUGUUGUUGCAGUUAAAAAGCUCGUAGUUGGAUUUCGGGACGGAACAACUGGUCUGCCUCUUUUGGUGUGUACUGGUUUGUCUGUUCUUUUGUUUGAGGAAAUUUCUUGUUUUUCAUUAGAUAGGGAAUGAACUCAGACCGUUUACUUUGAAAAAAUUAGAGUGUUUAAAGCAGGCUAUUGCCUUGAAUACAUUAGCAUGGAAUAAUAAAAUAGGACUUUGGUUCUAUUUUGUUGGUUUCUAGGACUAAAGUAAUGAUUAAUAGGGGCAGUUGGGGGCAUUAAUAUUUAAUUGUCAGAGGUGAAAUUCUUGGAUUUAUGAAAGAUUAACUUCUGCGAAAGCAUUUGCCAAGGAUGUUUUCAUUA
rnacentral:rRNA from 1 species